CUUUGAAAUGAUAAAGAAAGGAACAUAAAAUGUCACAAGGUUACUUCCCGCCAAAAUCGUUUGUAAAUGGCGUCUAAUGUGGUCAUCAAGUGGGCGAUGGGUUACAAUUUUUUGGUUAUUCAGAGAUAUAAUUAAUGCUAUGAGAUGACAACAAAUAACCCAGGUGCUGUAUUUUUUCUUGACAGUCAAGCUCAUUAUCAGGUACUGCACCGUCCAGAUCCUUACGAACCAGAAAGUGGGAACACUUCUACUGAAGCCUUAUAUCAGAACACUGAAGAGUUAUGGUAUACGGAGCCUGCAAACGAUAAUAGCCUUAAUUGCAACGUCAGAAGGUUGUGGAGUUGUAACUCAGAUAUCAAUGUUAACAUUGAGAGCGAGGUUCCUCUAAACAAUAAUACACACCAGGCGUCCAGCGAGGGCCGACCGUGUGAUAAUCGGCAGCCUUUAUUGGAAACACAACAAUCUGAAGGAGUCAAGGAGUCGCGCUGUUCAUUCUUCUCUCUGCUCACUUCGCUGAGAAGACAGAAGCCUCGAGAUGAACAAUACUUCAAGCGGCUUGAGAACAGUCUGACCAUGUGCACCUAUAGAGAAUCCUGCAGAUGUUUGGAGUGCCAGAGCCGAUACUUCGAGUACGAGAGCGAACCAGAGGAGUGUUCAGAUGACGACAGUAUCCUGUUCAACUACGAGUACAGACCUCAGCAGGCUGAGUUGCAGAAUAUGGAUAGUGAAUCUGAUGACGAUGAGGUAUUCUUAAAAAAUAGCCCAGAGAACAAAUCGACUGAGCUUCUAAUAGAAAAUACCAUGGACCAGACCGUAUCCACGUCGAGCGAAAUGAACGAAAGUCAAGCAACGGAUGUUUCGCCCGUAGAAAAGCAAAAAAGUAAAGUGGAAGUAGCGGCCAGUACUUCAGCCGUACUCAACAUACUUGUGUUCCAUCCUGGGUGCAUUGUGCAAUAGGAUAUAUUUUUUACCAGUGUAAUUCAGAAUGUGAUUUGUGACCCUCUUACGCGUAGAGCGUUUGCAUUGACUGGAGACGUCAUUUCCGAGCGUUUCUGUUUAUAUUAUCGCUUUCUACUUAUUUAUUAAAAUAAGAGAGAAACGUGCCUGCCCGCCAUCUCAUUAAAGUCGCCCCACGGUUCGUAUGAUAUGAGCGUAAAAUCAUAAGGGGUUUCUCAGGCGCUACUACCAUCACACCUUUUUCUGACAUUUUAUGUUGAAUUUGGGUUGACUUAUUUUUCACACUUUUUUGUGGGUAUCCAUUCAAAAUUUAAGUGCGUUUCCAAAAGGCGUUUUGUCACUGUGUUCAUGACACAUUUAAUUAUGUGUACUAAAACACUUGAUAAAAGAUUACGUGUUGAUACAUCUUAUAAAACACGGGCCUUCAAGAUGUAUUGUCUCAUGUUAUUGCGGACCUAAGGUUCCGAUUCAUAGGCGUAGUGUGAUGUCAUUAGGGUCUAAUGUUGAUAUGUUUUUUCGAUACAGCUCAGAGGGGAAUGCGAAGGUUAUGGGAUGGUUCCGGUGCUCACUCUUUGCUAUUACAGAAGCAUUGAUAUAAGACAUCUCAAAUAUAAUUUAGAUUUUGUUGUCACGCCUUAAGUGCUUUGUGAGUGCGAACUUAGGGCAAGUUAAGUCUAGCUCUUGUCCAUUGCAAUCCCAAAAAAUACAUUCAAAAUAUAGCGCUGGAAAAAAUGUGGAAUCUAGGUUUGUAGAAGGUAAAGCAUUACUCUGAUCUAAGUUUGAUUGGCCAACAAAAUGGACCAACAAUGCGAAAUAUUUAAGCCUAAGUUUUAAAUAUUCUGAAGAACUUAUGUUCUAGAUUUAAUGUUUCAAAUUUGUUACGCGGUGAGGCUUUAAAAAAAGCUAAUACGUUUCAUAUAGAAGCGAAAAGAUUUAAAAAAUACUGCCAAAGACGUGUACCUAGGUACUUACGUUGAAUGCGAUUUAAUAUUAGAAUUUAAACGAAAUAAUUGAUCGCACUAAGUAGCUUUAAAUAUAAUAGAUUUAUGAGAAAUUCUAAAUUAGCAUGUAAGUAGGUAGAUAAUAAGUGUUUAUCUAAUAUUGCCAAAGAUUUACUGUACGGUCUGAGAAAUGUAAAGGCAGUUUUAGACUGCGCUAUACAAUUAAAAUUGACCGUAUAAUGAAAUUCGUUCGAUUCGACCAUUUCAUUAAUUCAUCAAAAGAUAUUUGUACUCUCUUACUUCUGAUGAAUACAAUAUGCUAAAAAUAUGCACGAAAUAAAUUUUAAUGUAGUGAAAAAUACACCUUGUCUGGCUCCAUAUACUCUUAUUGUGAACUUGGAAAUUUCAUUCGAAGUAUUAAAACUGAAGUACGAACAAAUUUUAUAAUUUGCAGCCUUUGAUAAUUUUUUGUUGAUAUUUCAUAUAUUUUCUAAAGAGUUUAACAUUAAAUUACUGAACUCGUACGUUUAGUCAAUUUCAAGACAUUUUUACUUAUAAUUUUUGAUAGUAUAGUAGGGGGCUCCUGUUUCCGAAAUAAGAUCCACUAAUUGGGUCCAUUUCUACUGCAGGCAAAGCGGAUUACUCCAAUCAGCUCAACACCUUCCAAAAAAUCAGGACCUUCCAGAGAUUAAUAUCCCAGUUGCUUCUAACGAAGCAACCAGCUUCCAACGUUUUUCAGAGGAUAUUGACGGCUGAAUAGCCACAUCUGUAUAUUUUGAAAUUAACUGACCGACCUCUGCACUAAGGGCGAUCCGUUCAGCUGAUUAUAAAAAAAUGUUUGUUAGGCUGAUCACCAUAAAUCGAAUAUUGUGUUUGUUAUUAAAUGUCUUAUUUCGACUGUCUGCAGCAUUUUGUGAGUUGUUAGAAAGAGAUGGAAAUCAUGAAAGUGAACUGCUGAAGGAAAGUGCCAAGAGUGGCAAGACCAGGCAAUUGUGUCAUUGAGCCCAUUUCUUGCCACUUAAUUCGCAUGUAUACCAUAAUACACUGUAGACUCGCCAGAGGUAAUGCGUUCCAAGAAUUGGUAACACUCGUAUCGCUGUGCUUAACAAGUAUUUACUCUGGCUGCAUUGUGUUGUGAGCGGGAUCGUUUCGCAUACGCUUUGCCUACUUACAAAGAACGACGGCUAAUAAAAGCACGAUGUGUAGGUCUCGCUUCUAUUACACUCGCCUUGCUACAUAUAAUCUUCGUUUUCCGUUCCAUAGCUUUGUUUCGACGUGGUUCGUUGAGGACUACGCUAUAUGACGUUUUGUGAGUUCUGAACACUAUUAUUUUCACAGUUACACAGACAUUACCUAUACGUACAGUCCAUCAGUCUGGUAAGGUUAACAAGUGGGAAGUUUCUUAGGACCAGAUACCAGUUGGAUGUUUUUCUGCUGCCAAAGAGUAGUUUUUAAAGCACUAUUUGUUUCGGUUUAAAAGGCGUCGAAGUUAGCACAAUUACUGAGUUAAACCCAUGUCCCAAAAUGAUGAGCGCGUUCGCAGUGGUGUUCAUAAUUUUGGGUAUUUAUGGAACUCAGAGCGAUCUUCAUUUAUAUGGGCAAGUAAUUCUGUCAAUUCGCCAUCAAGAAAAACUGUUAAAACCAGAAGUCGCUGCAAGCCUCAUUUACAAAUUUUAUCGGGAGACAAAGAUUUCCGCUAGAGCAAAAUUGUCACGCUUAAUAACUACUUAAUAAAUUAAUCCAAACAGUUCAAUAGUAUGAUUGGCCAAUAAAAUGGACCAACAAUUACGUCUAAAUGUGCGAGGUAUUAUAAUUCAGACCAGAAUUCUAAUGGACAGGAGAAUAGGAGAUCGAAAACGUCAUGCUCAAGUUAUUGUUAUAGUUAUAUAGUAGAGUAGGUAAUUAAUUGAAUUUAAUACAAAACCUGUAGAUAUACCGGUCACAAUAUCUCUGCACCUAGCGUUGCUGACGUCAUAUAACCUCUCUAGUACAAUGUGAAAAACAAUCGCAAUAAAUAUUAUAAAACAAGUUGUUACAUACGUAAGUUAUUUUUUUACAUAUUUAGUCACGUUCAUUAUGUAAUUGAUUAUUUUAAUUCUAGCUUUAUUAAUAUGACGCAAUAUGCGAAGUGGGCGAGGCAUUCCAACAAGGUGCACGGAUAAUGUUACCGAUUUCUAUAUAUUAUAAAGUAGUCUGAGAAAUCCUUUAGAUAGUUAAUAAUAAUAUUAUAUUGUGAUAACAAUAAAGAAAUCGUCUUUAAUACGUAUUAUUAUACACAAUAUCAUCAAUUCUGUAGAACUAGCGGACAUUACUACAUCCAGUGGUUAUUAUAAAACUGUUUAUUGACACUUAGAAACUGCUAGUCUAUUUAGUAGACUCCUUUUUAAGUGGCCAAUAAGGAACAUAAUAUCGAAUUAUCCAUAAUACUGUACUCCUUACAAACAAUACCAAAGGUCACAUAAUAGUAGUUCACCAACCGAUAAGUUUAGUUCAUUUCAAUCGCUUUAGUCAGACCCUAUUUUAGAGCUGAUGCAUUUAUGCAGAUUUUCAUGUUAUUCCUGAGUUUCUCUACAUUUAUUUUAUUUAUUGGGGUCUACAAACAGUGCGUUCAUACGUCCCUUUAAGUUCCUCCUUUUUCCAUAUGUGAAUAGAUCCUCCACAGAAAAAGCAUUUUUUUCUAGAAGAAACUGCUGCUAUAAAAGCCCGAUUUUCUGAAAAAUCUUUAACACCACUCAAACUUGUAGUACUCUAAUAAUAAUAGUAAUUUGUAAGCUUCAUCUAGAUUCUAGUGUUAGUGUCAAAUUCUGAAGUAAUCUUAGGCGAAUCUCAUGUGACUUUAUCGCCAGCAAUAAAUGCAUCUCUAAUGCUGUCUUCCUUAUUGGUCUCGGCACUUACUUCCUAGUCGCAAGCAUGUGUCUAGCAUAAAUUCUGUGGUAUCACGUAUUUUAUAUGAAGUGGGGCCAUGGCUGCUUUAAAUCUAGUACAUUGGCUUAUUAAAAGAAGAUACAUGAUUAGUUUAAAUUCGAAGUUUUGUCUCUUUCAUUAUCUUCCUUACCUCCAAGCGCCAAAAAAUUAUCAAGUCAGUUUCCAAUCUUCCCAUUCUUUUGUAGCAGAUAUUGAGGAUGGGUCAGUGUUGAACCUUUCUGGACGUAGGAAUCUUUCCAUUUUAGUUUCUGAUAUUUUAUUUUGUAGAUUAAAUUGAUAAAUAAGAUAAAACCCUUAAUGGUUAUAGACAAAACAAGGAAUGAUAAAGAUUUUUGCUAAGACACUGAUUUACAAUUUAGGUCAAAACUUAGAUUAAGGAUUGGUCGCCUGUGCGCUCCAACUAGAUACCGCAGGCGUAGUCACACAGUGCGGCAACUAAUACUACGCCCAAGUACUCGUACAAUGUGUGACGUUGACGUGCCUCAUAUUCUGUCAAACUUUAAUAAUAAUUGAAACUAAAAUGCCGGGUUGCGUAGUAAAACUUUGUAAAGAUAAUACUACAAGAAAUUAGAGACACUGAGAUCACAUAUCAUCAGUCAGUAGGUAUUUUGUAUUUUUUUAAUUUCAAUGUAAAAUACCACGAAGCGUACCUGUUACAAAAUUUGAAAGAUGCCAUUGAGUGUCAAGAUCCCACGCACGCAAGCAUCUAAUAGUUGCCGUAACAAAAAAGCUAGUGUUCUUAGGUAGUGCGGUAUCUAGUUGGAGCGCAGCGGAGACCAAUCCUUAAUCUAGGCAUCUCAUUCGUCAUAUAUCAGGGCCCUAAUACAGAUGCGCCUUUACCUACUCAUAGUUUCACUCGUGUCAAAUGAAUAGUGACAAUUUCAGGCUAUUCGUGAUAAUUGAUAUACUGCCAUAAUAUUAUGUACUCAACGUUAAUUUAAGAAUAUAUAACAAAAUAUAUCGUGUUCACUAUUUUAAUGUUUAAUCACUGUAUUAUUAAUAAUAAGAAACACAAAUGAUAUAAAUACAAUAUUGUA